AGAGAGAGACAUGCGCGCAUAUCAAUAAGCGGAGGAAAAGAAACUAACUAGGAUUCCCUCAGUAACGGCGAGUGAAGCGGGAAGAGCUCAAAUUUGAAAUCUUCAAGGUUCUACCUUGACGAAUUGUAGUUUAAAGAAGUGUUUUCUGUUGGAGUUUUGGUAAAAGUUCUUUGGAAUAGGACAUCAUAGAGGGUGAGAAUCCCGUAUUUGACCUUUACUUUCAACUUUGUGAUACACUUUCAAAGAGUCGGAUUGUUUGGGAAUGCAGUCCAAAAUGGGUGGUAAAUUUCAUCUAAAGCUAAAUAUUGGCGAGAGACCGAUAGCGAACAAGUACCGUGAGGGAAAGAUGAAAAGAACUUUGAAAAGAGAGUUAAACAGUACGUGAAAUUGUCAAAAGGGAAGCGUUUGACACCAGUGUUGUUUUUCUGAAAAUCAAUUAAAGAACUGUUUAUGCUAAGCUUGUUUAGACUUUAUCAGCUAACUGUUUAGUUUUGAGCUUUUCUUUAAUGCACUUUUCAGUUAACAAGUCAACAUCAAUUUCUUUUGCUGUAAAAAAGCUUGAGGAAGGUGGCUUGAGAUUCGUCUUAAGUGUUUAUAGCCUCUUGCCUAUGCAGUCGGAGAGAUUGAGGUCUGCAGCGUAGAUCCUUCGGGGCUAAAUGCAUUUGUGCUAAGUUAUAACAUUUUAUAGACAACUUGUUGACUAUGAUUUGUCUUGUAGCUUACAUCGCUUAUGUUAUUUUACCUACGCUUAGGAUGUUGAGCGCAUGUCUCUCUCU
rnacentral:rRNA from 1 species